rnacentral:pre_miRNA from 1 species
GUUGGUCCGAUCUGGAUGUUCCUCUGAGUCAUACUCCGGGUGAUAUGACUAGAGACACAUUCAGCUUGGCUCAGGG